CAGUGUAGUGUACUACCAGUGAGACAAAUAAUAUCAAAAUUAUAGAAACUUCUACCAGCUCUAACUCAAAAUAUUGACAAUUCUGUGUUAAGGGGGUGUAAAAUUCAGUUUGACAGAUUCAGACGUGAUAAAAUUUGACCUUUUUGAACUGGACCAAAUCACUACUUAACAUAAAGAUUCAGCACCCAAUUUUUUUUUAACAUGUAAAUACAUCCCCCUACUUAAUAUUUCAUGCAUUUAAUAUCAAGAAAUAAAUUGGGAAAGUGUAUCAAAUAAAACAUGCAAGUUAUACACUGUUUACACUAGGGACUAUAUUCGUAGACAACGAAAACCAAAGGACGAUAACUGUGUCCUUGGACCUACUG
rnacentral:lncRNA from 1 species